rnacentral:tRNA from 1 species
GUCGACGUGGCCCAGCGGUGAGCGCGGCUCCGGCGGCUGCUGCCCGGCCAGGCGGAACAGGUAAUCCUGUUCGUCGCCA